UACGUAGGGUGCAAGCGUUGUCCGGAUUUAUUGGGCGUAAAGAGCUCGUAGGCGGCUUGUCGCGUCGACUGUGAAAUCCCGCGGCUCAACUGCGGGUCUGCAGUCGAUACGGGCAGGCUAGAGUUCGGUAGGGGGAGACUGGAAUUCCUGGUGUAGCGGUGAAAUGCGCAGAUAUCAGGAGGAACACCGGUGGCGAAGGCGGGUCUCUGGGCCGAAUACUGACGCUGAGGAGCGAAAGCGUGGGGAGCGAACAGG
rnacentral:rRNA from 1 species